AUUGAACGCUGGCGGCAGGCCUAACACAUGCAAGUCGAGCGGCAGCGGAAAGUAGCUUGCUACUUUGCCGGCGAGCGUCGGACGGGUGAGUAAUGUCUGGGGAUCUGCCUGAUGGAGGGGGAUAACUGCUGGAAACGGUAGCUAAUACUGCAUAACGUUGCAAGAACAAAGCGGGGGACCUUCUGGCCUCACGGCAUCGGAUGAACCCAGAUGGGAUUAGCUAGUAGGUGGGGUAAUGGCUCACCUAGGCGACGAUCCCUAGCUGGUCUGAGAGGAUGACCAGCCACACUGGGACUGAGACACGGCCCAGACUCCUACGGGAGGCAGCAGUGGGGAAUAUUGCACAAUGGGCGAAAGCCUGAUGCAGCCAUGCCGCGUGUGUGAAGAAGGCCUUCGGGUUGUAAAGCACUUUCGGCGAGGAGGAAGGGUGGUGUGUUAAUAGCACACGACAUUGACGUUACUCGCAGAAGAAGCACCGGCUAACUCCGUGCCAGCCGCCGCAGUAA
rnacentral:rRNA from 1 species